AAUAGAUCUGCAUCAAACUUUGUUACGUAGCAAAAUCAGAUGGGCUACACGCUGCUGGGUGCCCCUCUUGCAUGAGAUGUGCUGGUGCUUGGCAUUGCAUCUGCAGAUUAGUAAGCAGUUAAGCUGGCCGACUUAUUUUGGGGGGAAAUGAUGUCGCUGCAAGUAUUUAGGUAGGAUUUUCGUGGAAUUUUUCCCUUUCUUUGCAGGAGGUGGACCAAUAAAUCUAUAACAAUUUUCUUCUAGGCGUCAACUCCCAUUCCUUCGCGGAAUUACCAGGGUCCCCGCGGAAGAGAUCGAUGGGAGUUGGGCCUCCUAAUUCUCCUUCCCCUUCCCUUGUUAAUUCCCAAGUCCAUGAACCAAUCAAGAGGUCCCAACCACCUUAAACUCCCAUUCCCUAGCUCCAACUCCCCCAAACAAACAGGCCGCGCGAGCAGCCCGGGAGGAGGGGAAAGUCGGGCUAUUACUGAAUGUUGAAACAGUGAUUUUGGCCACUUGUAUCGCUAUAUACCAGUCUAGCUAUACGUCGCACCUUCAUUUCCCCAUUCCUUCGUCGAGUCGUCGUCAUCGCCAUCGACGGGGCUUCUCCCCGGAAUCAGGUGGCGCGGCGCAGCUCGGCUGUCCUCUCCUCUCUCCUCCGGGUCGCCGCAGCCCACCGCCGAUACCAACCGGUUUGUGCGAUGGCGGUGCCGCGGCCGUCGUGGUCGCGGUCGGUCACAGAGACCGUGCGGGGAUCGCACCAGUACACGGUCAAGGGUUUCUCCCUCGCCAAGGGCAUCGGCCCCGGCCGGCACCUCUCCAGUGACACCUUCGCCGUCGGCGGCUACGACUGGGCCGUCUACCUCUACCCGGACGGAAAGAACCACGAGGACAACGCCAGCUACGUCUCCGUGUUCGUCGCCCUCGCCUCCGAGGGUACCGAUGUCCGCGCCCUCUUCGAGCUCACCCUCCUCGACCAGUCCGGCCGCGCCCGCCACAAGGUCCACUCCCAUUUCGACCGAUCCAUGCAGGCCGGACCAUACACCCUCAAGUACAGAGGAUCCAUGUGGGGUUACAAGAGAUUCUACAGAAGGACACAGUUAGAAGCAUCAGAUUUUUUAAAGGAUGAUUGCCUAGUAAUGAACUGCACAGUAGGUGUCGUCAAGAACCGUCUCGAAACACCAAAGAAUAUCCAGAUUAAUGUUCCCCCAUCGGAUAUUGGCCGUUGCUUCAAGGAGCUCUUCGAACUCCACAUUGGCUGUGACAUAACUUUUGAAGUAGGUGAUGAGAAAGUCCAGGCACAUAAAUGGAUUCUUGCCGCUCGCUCCCCGGUGUUCAAAGCCCAAUUCUUUGGACCUAUUGGUAAACCUGACAUGGACAGAGUUGUUGUGGAGGAUGUUGAACCUAUCGUCUUCAAGGCAAUGGUCAAUUUCAUAUAUUCUGAUGAGCUUCCUAGUAUUCAUGAAGUAGCUGGGUCUUUCUCAAUGUGGACAUCUACUGCGGUAACACAACAUCUGUUGGCAGCAGCUGAUAGAUAUGGGUUGGACCGGUUAAGAAUCCUAUGUGAGGCAAAGUUAUGUGAUGAACUCACUUCUGAAACAGUAGCGACAACCUUAGCCCUAGCUGAACAGCACCACUGUGCUCAGCUCAAGUCUGCCUGUCUAAAAUUCACUGCUGUUCGACAAAAUCUGGGAGCUGUGAUGGAGACAGAAGGGUUUAAUUACCUGGAGGAGACUUGCCCAUCCUUGCUGUCUGAUUUGUUAGCAACCGUUGCAGUAGUGGAUGAUGAUCCUGCAUCUGUUAACCGGAAAAGGGGAGUUUGUAUCAACGAAGAUGUGAAUCCCGUUGAAAGCGUUGAGGCUAGUGACAGGCGCACCCGCAGGAGGGUUUAGGCGGAGGCUGUCAACUAAUGUAGCUUUUUGCUGUCUCCCAUGAAUUUUACUAUGGCUGGAGUUAUGUCAAGUGCUCUGUGACAGGAACUUUGAUUUGGAUGAGAGCAACUUGUGAAUAAUCUCCAGCAUUGACGGCUUUCUGUGGCGUUAGUUGCAACUCUGCCUGUUCAUUGACAUAUUGUAUGCCGUAUUUAGGUACUCCCUCCGCAAAGAAAUAUAAGAGCGUUUAGAUCAUUAAAAUAGUGAUCUUUACGCUCUUAUAUUUCUUUAGGGAGGGAGUAAUAAGUAAUGCCGGAUUCCACUGCUUUCCAAGAUGGUUGUUUUCGAAAUGAAUGAAUCUAAUAAGGUAAGCUUCUAUACUAUGUACAAAUCGAUUUUCCUCCCUUUGGGGAUUUUUUGGGGCCUCCGGUUGGUUUUCCUCAGUUUGAUGUAUGUAAUUUGGGGACAUGGGUGCAUGGUGUUGAAGUGUAUACAUGUAUUGCAUAGCUUUUUUCAUCAGUUUGGACUUUUGGUUGCGUUGUUAGUGCAUGAAGCUUAACAUGAUAUUAGAGCUUAAGGUCUUAAGUUUAAGUUUCGUCUUUUGUAAUUUAUUUAAAGAUUGAUGUAUUUGUG
rnacentral:rRNA from 1 species